UAGGCGGUUCUUUAAGUUUGGAGUGAAAGUCCUGGAUUCAAUUUGGGAAUUGCUUUGAAUACUGGAGAACUUGAGUGCGGAAGAGGUAAGUGGAAUUCCCAGUGUAGCGGUGAAAUGCGUAGAGAUUGGGAGGAACACCAGUGGCGAANGCGACUUACUGGGGCCGUAACUGACGCUGANGCUCGAAAGCGUGGGGAGCAAACAGGAUUAGAUACCCUGGUAGUCCACGCCGUAAACGAUGAUUACUANGUGUUGGGGGUUAUGAACCUUCGGUGCCNCAGCAAACGCNAUAAGUAUCCCCUGGGGAGUANUUCCCAGAAUGAACUCAAGGAAUUGACGGGGACCCCNCAACGGU
rnacentral:rRNA from 1 species